rnacentral:lncRNA from 13 species
CCCGCCAGCUCCGGGAGGGUGCGCCGGGGGAUGCUCCUGGCGCCCACCCCAGGGGCUUCCGGAGUGUCCCGCGGGGGAAAAAGGGAGAGGGGCGGGCUCCAGGCACAGCUCUGCCUAAGGGGCUCCGGCGGGCGCAGGAUGGAGAGGGUGGCGUGCGCUGGAGGAGGGGGCCGGCAACGCUCCCUUGCUCCAUCCCUCCCUUCCCUCCUCCGCGGGGCUGGAGCCUCCCCUGGGCAGCGCCCCCAGCUCCUCCCCGCUCGGUAACGCCGGUCCGAGCCCCUCCUCCCGUUUCCGCUGGCAGGAGCUGGGGCCGUGUCCUGCCGUACCUCCGCCGCUCCCCCAGCUCUCGGCCCCAUCCGGCCCGGCCCAGGGACGCGCGGGUUUGGUCUGCAACUUUUUCCUUGGUGUACAUCCAAUUACCUCAUGUGGUGUUGCUGUGUGUGAGGAAGUCACAGGAGGAAAAUAGAAGUACUUUCCUGCAUAAUCCCACUGUCUGUGGAAGACCAGUUGAGAAAUACUCUCCCAGUGGAAGAGCUGCAGCAGCCAGUAGGUACUGUUUUUUUGCCUGUGCUUCUUUCGGUAUGAAAUUAAUUGGACUGCUGUCUGCAGCAGCAUCACUGCACUGGUUUGGCUGGUGGUCUAAAUAGCUUAAAUUCUCCUUGUAAGUUAGUUAAGUCUGUGAGGCACUAAUGUAAUGGUCUCUUCCUUCCUCAGGGUGGAACAAACAUGGAAGCAUUAGCAAUAACAAAAGCCUCUUCUGUCUUGCUCCAGUUUCUCUUAGUUUUCUGACGAAGAAGCAUCUGGUAUGGCCUUUAGCUGUCCCUUUAUAGGCCAUAAGUCCUGAUACAUUGCCAAGUGACAUAAUAUUAUGUUUCAUUUUUAAAGGGGAUUUUGCAGGGCAGAGGGAACAGUGCACAAGAAGUUUAUUUGUUGCACAAUAAGGUCAUUCUUUAAGAAUGAGACAAAACUACAAGCGUUUUAUUUCUGAUCAGCUUUGACUUGUGAUUAGUUACAGCUUCCCAUAACCAAUGCUGUCAUAGCAGUUUUUAUUCUGGGUCAUAAACAGUGAUUGUAAACCCUAUUAAAAUAAAAACAACAAAAAAAAGACCCUAAGAAGAAAUGUGUUUGCAAGAAGAUUUAUUUCUGACAUGAGUCACAGUUCAUGAACUUCUCCCAGAUGAGCUCAUCAUGGGAAAUCUUCAGUAGGAAUACUGGUAUCUAAGUCACUCCGAUACUACCUGCUUCUCAGUGACAUAAGGUUCUGUGGAUCAGCACAUCUGCACUAUGCAACUGUGUUCCUAAAGUAAUCUUACAGCUUCUUCCUUCUGUUUGAAGCUAAAUCUGCUUGAAAUGUAUUUAUUCAUAACUUGCAUGUGUUCUUAGUUGUAGGAGGUACCUUAGACUUCAAGAAAUAUCUGCGAUAGUUUUAAAUUCAGUUUUUUUAAUAAUGGAAAUUGUUUUCAGUGGUUCCUAAAAAGAUGGUACUAGAAGGUUUGAGUGUAGAAACAUUUGAAGAUUUAUCAGUUGAAUUCUGACAAUACACAUAAAGUGCAUGUUUUUAGAGGAACAGAAAGGAUUGUCAGUGGCACCUCUUUGGUUUUUUCUGGAUAUGUAAAUUAUAUUUUGUGUUGAAAGAGGCCACCUAUGUUUUUAUGUAUAAACCAAGAGACACAUAUAUGAUAGGAAUAGGUAGUGUGUGAUUUAUGUCCUAACAAUUCCUCUGGUGAUUUCAUGAUGAUGCCUUUUCCUGGUCUUAAAAUCAAGAGUCAAACUUGGUUAGAAGGGAAAAAGGGAUUUUACCUUGGUAUUUAUUUUAAGGAUCCUUAGGUGCACACAUCCAGGUUGAAUGCACUCAAAUGCACACCACAAUGCACCCCCCCCCAAAGAUCUGGUAUAACAUUAUAGGUCUUACUAAUUAGCAUAUCUAUCAAAGUUCCCCAAUGAGAGGCUUGAAUUGAGCCCCCCUCCCCAAGGAACCUUCCCCUGGAUGGUUCUAUCUUAGUUUACAAAUUGUUCUGGAGAGGACCUUGGGGUCUGGGGCACACUGAUCCCUGACUACGAAGCUCCUAAGAUGUUUAGUCUCUUAGCUUGACAAACAAGUCCAAGAAUGCAGGCAAAAAGCACUAAGAAUACAGAAGUUGUAAAAAGGUAUAACAGGGGUAUAAAACAAAAGGCAACAAAUCAUCGUGGCAUCAAUGAAGUUCUGGUGAGUGUAUUGGUUCAAAAUGGAUUUGAAGAUCCUUAAGUGGAAGUAAAAUUGGCAAGACUUUGCAAAACACAUUUCCAAGAAAAAGGAACACAAAUGAUGGUUGCCAGAGAGAACCUAUUAAAUGAAAUCCUGUGUUCUCAGUUACUUCAGUGGUCAAGUGAGAUGUCCAGAAUAUCUGCAUGGUAGAGGGAUUUGUUGAAAAAAGCUGUGCUUGAUAGGCAUUUUUCAUUUGUUGGGUUUUGGUUUUUUGGAGUUUUUUUUUUUUUUUGGUUGGUUGGUUGGUUUUGUUAUUAACAGCAAUGUGUUUAUUGAAAGCCUGUAAGAGCAUAUUUUGUGGUAUAGUUCCUGCAGCUGAAAAUGAAAUGCAGAUAAAAGGACUGUUUAUAAGUCAGUCACACCUUAUCUCCAACACCUCCUUUUGCUAGAGUUUGGGAAGAAUGAAAAAGCAUGUCCCUGUGUGUCCAAAUGAAUUUGAACUGUGCUGGACUCUCAGUGGACGUGAACAAAUCAAAUCUAGAACCUGUCUUUGAGACUCUCCUCUUUGGUAGUUUAGUUUAUCUCCAAGGCCAAGUUGUUACAGCAGCAGUUGUCAGCAGGGCUCAGUUUCUUGGAUAAUUCUCUCUCAUGUAGUUUGGCUGUAAUUAUUAAAAUCUGAACCUUGAAUUUUUAAACUUACAAGUACAGGCCAUUGAAACAUGAGCCCAGUGUGCUCAAGUGGCACUGUGUCACCUCAUAAAUGAGCCCUGGCCUUCUGUGCCAGCUGCAGGGCCUGCGCGGCAUCACUCCAUGUAGGUCGCAGCAGUCCAAUUUUGAAGUGACAAGUUCAUGCAUCACUGUGGCAAGAUGUGACUGGGGCCAGCAAUGACAGGCAGUGCAGUACAAUGAGAUGAAAAUGAAAAAUAGUUCUGUUCGCUAUAGCCUCUAGUUGACACAUGUUCCUGACAAAUUCUUACUUUGGUUUUGCUUAAGUACCCAAUAUAUUGUUCUAAUAGCAUUCUUACAGAACUGGUUGAUCUGAAAAUUACUCUGGAGCUAACAGCUUAUAAGGAGUUCUAGCUAAUGGUGUGGCAAGGAUCUAAAAUGGGGAUAGUACAGCUUUACGCUGUAUUAAUUAUAACUGCACAGGGACGUAGGAUUUCAGGAGUCUUGGAAGAAACUUCAAAGACAAA